UAGUAAAAUAUUAAGAUAAGUAAUAGAAAUAGAUUACUAAAAAGAUGAUUAGUUACAAUAAAAUCACAGUAUGGGUUAUUACAAAAAGUUAAAGAGAUCAAAAUCAAUGUUUAACCCUAUUGGGGCAAGAGUUUUUAAGUUAUAUGCCCAUUCCAUUUCUUUCUUACCUAAAACUUUUUUAAUGUCACCCCCUCUCCAUGGGAUAUUACAUGUGUCAAUACCAAUACAUUUAAGAUAUUUUGGGUUCUUUCCAUGUUGUAGGAAAUGUUUCGAGACUGAAUGGUUUUCAUAGCCUUUUAGAAUAUUUCUACAAUGUUCGGCUAGUCUCGUUUUUAAAUCUCUGGUAGUCAUGCCCACAUAUUGAAGGCCACAAGGGCAUUCCAG